rnacentral:rRNA from 1 species
CGCGUAGGCGGUUUGUUAAGUCGGAUGUGAAAGCCCUGAGCUAAACAUGGGUAUUGCAUUUGAUACUGGCAGGCUAGAGUAUGGUAGAGGGUGGUGGAAUUCCAGGUGUAGCGGUGAAAUGCGUAGAGAUCUGGAGGAAUAUCAGUGGCGAAGGCGGCCACCUGGACCAAUACUGACGCUGAGGUGCGAAAGCGUGGGUAGCAAACA